UUUACCAGACUUAUGUUGUAUGUAAAGUUCUCCAAUCAUACAGAAGCAUCAGACAGAAAUCAGUAAAUUUAGAUGGUUUUGGAUGAGCGAGACCAGCUUGGAGCCUAGUUAGCACAGGUAGGGCAUGACCCAUGUGAAACUCUGCUGCAGCAAGGCAAUUGGUAGAAAGAGGUUUUUCAGAAAUAACACUUGUUCUUUCUUUUGUUAUAGAUGUCCGAGACUAUCUGACAACUAACAGCUGAACGUAACCAGUACUUAGAGAAACUGAAGGAAGAGGGGUCUGUCUGGUAGUGAAGAGUCCAGCUUCUUUCUGAACAGGUGAGAGACUGGAAUGGGGUUCUGAUUUGUUAAAUAGUAUAGAAAUUGUAAAUUACGCUCCAGGCUUUUGCCGGGUAAAGAAAACAUUUUUAGGUAAACUUGUAUUUUUCCCUUCCCUGCCUAAGCUGCGUCCGCUCAUUCCAUCGUGUUCACUGACAUUUUUCUUUGGGUUGAAGGAAAAUGUUGCUUUUCUUCUGGCUAGUUUUUAGAAUAGGGAUGUGAAACUGGAACACUGGAACACUUAAAAAUUUGAGAACCAUCUAUUUAAUUCAUCAAUACAUUAAUAUGACAGUGACCUUGCUGUAAUUCUAUAGUUUUAGGGGUAUCCAAAUCAACUUCUUACUUCCUCCUAGAUUAUCACCAUAACUACCUUUUAUAUGGGGAACAACCACAAAAAAAUAUCCAAACACAACAUACUUCUUUAAGUGAAGGUUUCAUGCAAAAAUCCUCUGUAGUCAUUUUUAUAUUUAGGAUAUCUGGAGCUGCAGUAAGAAUGCUAUUCUCUCCUUCAUAGAUCCAGACCUUGGGCCAGGAGAAACAGACAGCCCAGCUCGUGUACAGAUUGCAGCACAAGGAGGUGUAGGGGAAGGAGAACCAGGAGCUUCUCACCAAAGAAAGCCAAGAGAAGAGAAUGCAAGUGCUACAGAUCCGUAGUGUGUCAGAAUUUGUACUAUUAAAAUAAAUCUCUGAUUUUGUGGGGUGAAUCUAUUGUUUGUAGAAGUUUUGGCCUUGGAAAACCUUCUUUUAACAAAAGUGGGAUUGUACAUAAAUUAUAGAUUUGGAAAGCUUAAGUUGUCCCAAUAAAACCUUGAUAUAGUUUUUUUUUAAUUUUGUAAUUUUCAUACAUUUGUCUUUAUCAGGAAUAUGCCAGUAAGAAGCAGAAGAAGAGAGAAGGAUAAAGCAGAAGGGAUGGAAUUGAGAUCAGAAGACAGAGGAAGACAAGACAUUUAUCUCUGACACUCUCACGCUUUGUGAUGUGUUUUUCAGCGGGUGCACUUAGUAUACAUAACAUGAUGGGGAAUGGUGCCAAGAAUAACCAUUAUACACAGAAUUUCCAGUCUGUUAGCCCAGGGUGAGUACGCUUGUUGGAAAAGCCAUUCCCACAGAAGGACUGUGUCUCUCAUACCCACAGGUACUGUUUCUUUAUUGCAGAUUUCAUCCAUUCUCUCACUCCCUCUAUGUUAUCAUUGCCAAAUGAGACAAUUACCCAGAAUAAAAACACACACAGUGGCUUUGUUGUUAAUCUGUGAAAUCACAGUUUUAUUAGUAAUAGAAAUUUAGCUUUUUGAUCCUGAGGAAGGCAAAAACCCUUUUCAGAAGCGUGGACUGAUCUACUUCACUAGAGGGAAAAAUUCCUUCCUGACUCCUUAACGGCAAUCGGAUUUUCUCCCAGGAUCAAUGUGCCAUAUAUCAAGGGAAGAAGGGUGAGGGAAACAGAAAGGAAUAUGGCAGAAUAAAAAGGGCGCGCAAUCAAGCUGCUACGUGAAUACUGCAUUCCGCUUCAUUCCAUGGGACCUCAAGCAGCCUGCAGACCCGGCUUCUACAGUCUGAGGGAUGGAGUGAAAAGGAAUGCAGGAUCUACAGAGUGGCUUAAAGGUGCACCAGUGUAUAAAAUCAUAUUUUGGGAGAAAGAGAAGACACCUUUUGGGGAAAUGCAGUAAGGACAUGGGAAAUAGAAAGCAAUAUGGAUGCAUACACAGGAGCGCCUUAAGCUGCUCGGUGAAUACUGCAUUCCACUUCAUUCCAUUGGACCUCAGACAGCCUGCAGACCCGGCUUCUACAGUCUGAGGGAUGGAGGGAAAAGGAAUGCAGGAUCUACAGAGUGGCUUAAAGGUGCAACUGUGUAUAAAAAACAUAUUUUGGGAAAAAGAG